UACGUAUGUCCCGAGCGUUAUCCGGAGUUACUGGGCGUAAAGAGUCUGUAGCCGGAUUUAUAAGUCUAUUUUCAAAUAUUACGACUCAAUCGUAAAAAGGGAAUAGAUACUGUAUAUCUAGAGGAUUUUAGGAGUUAAUGGAAUUUCCGGUGGAGCGGUGAAAUGCGUUGAUAUCGGAAGGAAUGCCGAAAGCGAAAGCAGUUAACUAUAAAAACCCUGACGGUCAGAGACGAAAGCUUGGGUAGCAAACGGG
rnacentral:rRNA from 1 species